GACGAACGCUGGCGGCGUGCUUAACACAUGCAAGUCGAGCGGCGCGGCGAACGGGUGCGUAAGGCGUGAGUAACUGCCCCCCUCUCUGGGCUGACAGUUGGAAACGGCUGCUAAUACCGGAUAGUGGGGGAUGAGGUGCGGUCUAGCAGCUUGUUGGUGGGGUAGUGGCCUGCCAAGGGGACGACGGGUGGCCGGCCUGAGAGGGCGACCGGCCACAUUGGGCAGGGGAACGGGCAAAACGCCAACUGGAGGAAGCGGUGGAGAAUAUUGCACAAAAGGGGGAGCGAUGAUGCAACAACGCCGCGUGCGAAAUGACGGUGUUCGGGGAAGAAAGCGCUUUCGGCCAUGACGCGGUAGUGGCAGAAGAAGCACCGGCUAACUACGUGCCAGCAGCCGCGGUAAUUC
rnacentral:rRNA from 1 species